rnacentral:lncRNA from 1 species
GGAAGAUGAUUACAUGGUCAUUGACAAUGUGAACUUGAAUGGCUACAUUAGCUCUUUAAUUAUAAUGAAUCUAGAAGAAAUGUUCAAGGUUGCAAAGGAGGCACUUGACAUUGGUCCUUGUACCACCCUCCAAUCUACCUGCCACCACCACCUGCAGCAGCAGCUCUAGGGAGAGAAUGGUUUCAAUGAAGAGAGCUGUACAGUUUAUUGACCCUCAAAGAAUGCUCCAUGUUUUAUCGAAGCAAAUAAGUCUGCAAGUGGUUCUCAGCAGCGGCUGGUUUGACAGACAGCGGCAUUUCCCAGCAGGUGAUGCUUGUAAGGCGUUUACCCACUCUGUGCUCCGGAAAGGGAGGCGGGUUCUAAUCGCAGUGCUUCUAGCGGUCUGCUGAAGGCAGAGGAUGGCUUCUUGAUUUUCUCACCAUGGUGAGGACGCAGCUCUGUGGUGGAGAGACCUUGCACAGGCUGAGGUCCAACGCAGCGGUUCUCCAGCACUGUAUGUACACCAGAAUCUCUUGCAGAUUUGUAAAAGCUGCAGAGCCCACAGUCCACUCCAGAGCAGCUAAAUAGACCCACUGGGGUUGGACAGGCAGUUAAGAAAGCACCCCAGGUGAUUUUAAUGUGUAGCUGAGGUUAAGAACCACUAUAAACGUGCAUCACAGACUCAGCGCCACUAUAAACCAUCCAUUACCGGCUUAGCACUUAAGUGCAAGUUAGUGAGACCCUUCUGUCGCUCGCUGAGGCUCCCUCUGUCAAUAAACUGUCAAUUUUGCUUCCAAGAAAGCUUCAAGUUCAAUCGGUUUUAGGGUGUGACCCUUGCGGGGAAAAAAAG